UGUUUCCUCAAUUACAGCCCGCCAUCCUUCCAUAACCUUCUUUCUCAUUCAAUUGCUGCCAAAACAAUUCAGAGAGAGAGAUCAAUUAUCAAGAACGAUCGAGAGAGAGAGAUAACUAAGGUGUGUUUCUUUGCUUUGCACGAAGAGAUAGAGAGAGAGAUCGGAGGGAAAUUCUCACCUCAUCAUCUCAGCACGAGGCCAGUUGUUCUUUAUCACGAGUGAUCGGAGAGGUUUUUAUUGGGCGGUUUGUAUCAAAUCUUCUCAGCUUUCAUCACCGACCCUAAAAACUUGGGUUCGUCAUCAGCAAGGUAAUUAGGUGAGCGGAUUCUGGAUUUUGACCGACGAUCUACCCAUAAAAGAAAGUGAGAGAGAGAAAAGUCUUCUUCGUCGCUGGACUGGUCUGAGGCAGACGAAGAAUAGGGGGCCACCUAAAAACUUGGAUGAUCGAGUUCAAUGUGUAGAACCACUGAAUACAUGGCUCCUGAAAUUCUGCUGUCUAAAGGCCACAACAAAGAUGCAGAUUGGUGGAGCAUUGGUAUACUUUUGUAUGAGAUGCUAAGUGGUCAGUUUAAUUCUCUCUGAUUUCAAGGGACUGUGUUUCAAUUAAGUUGGCCUGUUUACUUAUCAAGUUUGAGCCACAUUCGGUUUUUUAGUCAAGGAAAGCAUCAAUCAAGUUCAGACGAUAGAAGUUGCAAGGACCAUAGUCCAGAUGAAGCAAAGGGAAAGAUUCAGGAGAUAUCUAUUCAUUUGCAGAUUGAAAAUCAGGGAGAUGAAAUGAACUGUGAAAAUCCAAAAGGAGAUCAAGCGGCAUCUCUACAAAGGCAUUUUUAGCUUUCCCAAGUGAUGAAAUCGUGAUAAGCAAACGGCCAUUUUCUGCAUAAUAUAAACAAGUAUCUUAUCUAAAACAAUGGAACCUAACAAGAAUUAUUAAAAAAAAAAAAAAGUAAUAACAACCAGUCACAACCAACAUUAGUUGUAGAGGAAUCACCUCAAAGGACCUACUGUAAAUAGGUUGGUUGAACUACAAAUGUAGGCUAUUUUUGUUGCCACUAACCAAUUUUGUAUAGCAAAACAGCUUUGGUUUUUGUAACUAGAUUUUUUUUUUUUUUUUUGAGAAGAUGUUUUUGUAACUAGAUUAAGAUACCAGAUUCUACUUAAUAUUUCCACUUUUGUAAUAUAACUGUAAAAUAUUCCACAAACUAUGAAUGUAUAAAACUUAGCAAGAGAAAAAACGCGGCAUUGCGCGGGCCUACAUUUUUUUUCAG